GACGAACGCUGGCGGCGUGCCUAAUACAUGCAAGUAGAACGCUGAAGCAGGAGCUUGCUUCUCUGGAUGAGUUGCGGACGGGUGAGUAACGCGUAGGUAACCUGCCUGGUAGCGGGGGAUAACUAUUGGAAACGAUAGCUAAUACCGCAUAAUAGUAGAUGUUGCAUGACAUUUGCUUAAAAGGUGCAAUUGCAUCACUACCAGAUGGACCUGCGUUGUAUUAGCUAGUUGGUGGGGUAACGGCUCACCAAGGCGACGAUACAUAGCCGACCUGAGAGGGUGAUCGGCCACACUGGGACUGAGACACGGCCCAGACUCCUACGGGAGGCAGCAGUAGGGAAUCUUCGGCAAUGGACGGAAGUCUGACCGAGCAACGCCGCGUGAGUGAAGAAGGGUUUCGGAUCGUAAAGCUCUGUUGUAAGAGAAGAACGAGUGUGAGAGUGGAAAGUUCACACUGUGACGGUAUCUUACCAGAAAGGGACGGCUAACUACGUG
rnacentral:rRNA from 1 species